AACGAACGCUGGCGGCAUGCCUAACACAUGCCAGUCGAACGGGACCUUCGGGUCUAGUGGCGCACGGGUGCGUAACGCGUGGGAACCUGCCCUUAGGUUCGGAAUAACUCCCCGAAAGGGGUGCUAAUACCGGAUAAUGUCUUCGGACCAAAGAUUUAUCGCCUUUGGAUGGGCCCGCGUUGGAUUAGCUAGUUGGUAGGGUAAAAGCCUACCAAGGCGACGAUCCAUAGCUGGUCUGAGAGGAUGAUCAGCCACACUGGGACUGAGACACGGCCCAGACUCCUACGGGAGGCAGCAGUGGGGAAUAUUGGACAAUGGGCGAAAGCCUGAUCCAGCAAUGCCGCGUGAGUGAUGAAGGCCUUAGGGUUGUAAAGCUCUUUUACCCGGGAUGAUAAUGACAGUACCGGGAGAAUAAGCUCCGGCUAACUCCGUG
rnacentral:rRNA from 1 species